GACAUAGUUAAACGGCCGCGGUACCCUGACCGUGCGAAGGUAGCAUAAUCACUUGUUCUUUAAAUAAGGACUAGUAUCAACGGCAUCACGAGGGUUCUACUGUCUCCCUCCUCUAAUCAGUGAAACUGACUUCCCCGUGAAGAGGCGGGGAUACAACUACAAGACGAGAAGACCCCAUGGAGCUUUAAACCCGCUAACAGCCCCUAUUAAAUACUCCCAUAUAAAUGAAAAGCACUGUAUAGCGGUUUUAGGUUGGGGUGACCACGGAGUAAAAUUAAACCUCCAUGACGAACGGAAUAUAUCCUAAUCCACGAGCCACCACUCUAAGAAUCAAAAACUUGACAUAAUAUGAUCCGGUGACCGAUCAACGAACCAAGUUACCCUGGGGAUAACAGCGCAAUCCAUUUCAAGAGCCCCUAUCGAC
rnacentral:rRNA from 1 species